UACGUAGGGUGCAAGCGUUAAUCGGAAUUACUGGGCGUAAAGCGUGCGCAGGCGGUUCGCUAAGACAGAUGUGAAAUCCCCGGGCUUAACCUGGGAACUGCAUUUGUGACUGGCGGGCUAGAGUAUGGCAGAGGGGGGGUAGAAUUCCACGUGUAGCAGUGAAAUGCGUAGAGAUGCGGAGGAACACCGAUGGCGAAGGCAGCCCCCUGGGCUAGCACUGACGCUCAGGCACGAAAGCGUGGGGAGCAAACAGG
rnacentral:rRNA from 1 species